rnacentral:rRNA from 1 species
GGGCCCGCACUCCCGGGGCGCCUCGGCCUCGGCCGCAGGCGCACCCCGAGCGUACACGUUGGGACCCGAAAGAUGGUGAACUAUGCCUGGCCAGGACGAAGUCAGGGGAAACCCUGAUGGAGGUCCGCAGCGAUUCUGACGUGCAAAUCGAUCGUCAGAGCUGGGUAUAGGGGCGAAAGACUAAUCGAACCAUCUAGUAGCUGGUUCCCUCCGAAGUUUCCCUCAGGAUAGCUGGCGUCCGUUUUGAGAUGGGACGAGUCUCAUCCGGUAAAGCGAAUGAUUAGAGGCCUUGGGGCCGAAACGACCUCAACCUAUUCUCAAACUUUAAAUGGGUGAGAUCUCCGGCUUGCUUGGAUGAAGCCGCGAGGGAUCAGGGUGCCAAGUGGGCCAUUUUUGGUAAGCAGAACUGCCG